CUAAACGAAGUAGCCUUAAAGCUUAGAGAGGUUCUUAAGAGUUUCCUUGAUACUCUAAGGUUUUGCCAUAACCUUUAGGCGAGUGAAUUCCGGCAGUUGGUCGGGACUGGACUAACCCUUGUUUGGGUGAACCAGUAUAAAUCUCUUGUGUUGUUCUCUGUUAAUUAUAGUUUUAUCUCUUAUCUAAAAACAACACUUAAUUAAAAAGGAUCCCUCUUCCAGUUAUCUGGUCAAAUACAGAAGUUGACUACUUUACGCAGAUCCCUCAUCCAGUUAUCUGAUCAACCAUCUGAGGUUAUAUUCAUUAUUUUAAAUCCUUAUAUUUGUUCAAGUAUUACUUAUCAUAUAUAUCCAGUUAUCUGAUCAUUUACUUGCUUAUCAAUAUAUCCAGUUAUCUGGUCAUUUACUCUACAAUACAAUUUGUGUUUACAAUAUAACUUAGUAUUCAUAUACUAUAAUUGUGUGUAAAACACUAUCCAACAAGUUGACUCAGUAUUCAUAUACUGUGGUAAGCUUCGAAGAGUAAUAAUUACAUUAUUAUAUCAAUCAAAGUUAUAAUAUCUUUAUAUCAUUAUUGUUCAACCAUUUGUUUAUUAAGCAUUUACAGGUAAUUCCGCAAUCAACCUGUAUAAAUCGAAAAGAGACUAUUAUCCCCCCUUAUAGCCUCGGAUCUCGAUCCAACAAGUGGUAUCAGAGCCAAGUUCCGUUGAAGUCAGACUAACAUCUUACAACAACAACUAUGACUUCAAAUGGUGAAAACAGUACUGGUCUUGCAUCGAACAAACCUCCUAGGUUCGAUGGAGUAAAGUAUGACUUCUGGAAAAACAAGAUGAAGUUAUACUUAAAGUCAAUCAACAAUGGAGUCUAGAAAAUCAUAUUGGAAGAUUAUGAGAUUCCAACAAGCAAAGAAGAGACUUGGGGAGCAAUGAAUAUUCUCAAGGAAAACAACAACUCAAGAGCAUUGAAUGCACUAUAUGGUGCCCUCAAUGAAUCUGAGUAUAGCAGAAUUCGAUGCUUGGAUACAGCUCACAAGGUAUGGAAAGCUUUGGAGGACCUACAUGAAGGAACCUCCCACGUCAAGGAAAACAAGCUACUAAAUGCCACUUCUCAAUUCGAAAGAUUCUCUAUGAGGGAAGAUGAGACUAUCGCGGAAAUGAAUAUUCGACUAUCAGAAAUAGUCAACGAUCUGGCUGGACUAGGAGAUCCAGUAACUGAGAAAAAGCAAGUGAGCAAGAUUCUAAGGAGCCUUCCAAACAAAUACUACUCAAAAAGGAAUGCUAUCCAAGAAUCUUAUGAUCUGAAUAAACUCACAGUGGUAGAACUUUGCGGAAAUCUGAUGGCCUAUGAAGAAGAAAGAUUUAUCUCUAGAGCAAAAGAAGAGAAAAAGGACAUUGAUCUCAAAAGUCAAUCCGAUAACGAAGCAUCUGAUGAUGACUUGGCAAUGAUCACAAAUCAUUUAAAGAGAUAUCUCAUAAAAAGGAAAGAAAAGAGAAAUUCAAAGUUAGACUAUCAGAAUUCCGACAGAAAAGUGAGUAAAAACCACAAAGACUCAAAGGAGCCCAUCUGCUAUUUGUGCGACAAAUCUGGACACAUCAGACCUGAAUGUCCUCUGCUAAAGAAAGAAAAAGCACAUCAAGUACACUAGUCAGAUUCUGAGUCAGAUCAAGAAGACUGCCUUAUGGCUCAUGAGAACGACUCUGAGGUAAACUUUACAAAUACUAGAUUUAAUUCAUUAGAAGAAGCAUAUCUAGAAUUAAUGAAUAAAUAUAAAGCUGAAAAAAAAUUAAGUAAAUCAUUAAGACUAGAAUGCAUGAAUAGAUCACAUAUUGAUCAUUCAAUAGAAUUAGAAGAAUCACAAAAAGAAUGCAUGUUAUUAAAAGAAGAAAAUCAUAAACUCUCAAGUAAAAUAAAAAAGGGAGAUGAAAAAAUUAAAAUACUUAAGAGUCAAAAUUUUGAAUUACUCGAUAUUCUAGAAUCUGAAGAAAAUCAACCUAAGGAAAUAAAUGAUGAUAGGGUUGAAUUGUUAGAAUUAAAAAUAGAUAAUUUUGAGAAAAUCGUUAGAAAUAAAGAAAAAGAAACAAUCAUGCUUAAAACUGAAAUAGAAUUUAAGGAUAAACUCAUACUUGAGCAUGAAGAAACUUUACAAAAAUUAUCUGAAAAACAUAACAGCAUGCAAUUACAAACUGAAAGAAUAAAUGAGAAAAAUAAUGUUCUUCAAAAAUUCUUAAAUAGUUCAUCCAAGUUAAAUAACAUGUUGCAAGGUUCAAACUUGGGUCAAAAGAAAUUUGGCUUAGGGUUUGAGUCAGAUGCACCUAUUAACAAAACCUUAAAUGCCAUAACUUAUAAUGAUCAUUUUGUAAGGGAAUCUAGUUAUACAAAACCUUUACAUGCUUCAAUGUAUAAUGAUUAUUCUAGCUAUACAAAACUCAUUCAUCUUAAGAAAAAGAAAAAUCAUUCUAAGAUGAAUCAUCCAAAACAAAGAUGGAUGACUAAAGAUGAGUUAAGAAGUUAUAAGCAGAUUAAGUAUGUUAAUUCAUCCGGACCCAACUCAGUAUAGGUACCAAAGGAUUUUUCAACUUUUUCAGGAAAAGCAUGUGUCAAAAUGGAUGUUCGACAGCGGAUGCACAAGACACAUGACUGGGGAAUCAAGUCUACUAACAGACUUGGUAGACUUACCUACUAGUAAAAAGGUCAAGUUCGCCGAUAACAACGAAGGUACAAUAGCAGGUAGGGGGUAAUGUAGGAAAUACCGAAAAAUCAUUCUUAAGAAAUGUGUACUUAGUAAUUGGUCUAAAACACAACCUGAUUAGCAUAAGUCAAUUAUGUGAUAUUGGUUGUGUAGUAAAAUUUGAAAAAUAUAAUUGUUUUAUCACUAACUCUGAGGGAGUUAUUAUUGCCAGAGGAUAUAGAAAAAACAAUGCUUAUUCUAUAAAUUUUGAUAAGUCUAAUCCAACUCGUGACUUCUGCAUGCAUGCUGCAAGCGAUGAGAAAGUUUUAUGGCAUAGACGAUUAGGUCACACCAGCUACUCAAAACUAUCUAAAUUAUCUAAAGAAGAAUUAGUAACUGGGUUGCCUAAAAUAGCUUAUGAGAAAAGUAAUAUCUGUGAUAUUUGUCAAAAAGGAAAGCAACACAAAAGCCCGUUUAAAUCCCUCACAGAAAUAACCACUUCUAGACCCUUAGAGCUUCUUCACAUGGACUUAUUUGGGCCAACCCAAACCCAAAGUCUUGGAGGAAAAAGGUUCACCUAUGUAAUCAUUGAUGAUUAUUCUCGCUAUACAUGGGUGUUCUUUCUAAGAAACAAAAGUGAAACCUUUGGUGAAUUCUCUAAAUUUUGUACCCUAGUACAGAAUGAAAAAGGUUCAUCUAUCAUAAAAAUCAGAAGUGGUCGUAGAGGAGAAUUUGAAAACUCUGACUUUAAAGAGUACUGUAUAUCCAAUGGGAUAAAGCAUGAAUUUGCUUUUCCUCAAGCUCCACCUCAAAAUGGAAUAGUAGAAAGAAAAAAUCUUACUCUUCAAGAAAUGAGUAGGUCUAUGUUACAAGAACAUGACUCCCCUCAAUAUCUAUGGGCAGAAGCUAUAAGCACUGCAUGUUACACUCUCAAUAAGGUAAUCAUUAGAAAAACCUUAAACAAAACUCCCUAUGAACUUUGGAAUAACAGAAAACCCAAAGUUUCAUUCUUUAAAGUAUUUGAGAGUAAAUGCUAUGUUCUCACAACAAGGGGAAACCAAGAUAAAUUAGCACAAAAAUCUGAUGAAGGAAUCUUGGUUGGAUACUCAAAAAGGAGCAAGGCAUAUAGAGUCCUUCUCAAAGAAAGACAAACAUUGAUAGAAUCCCUACACGUUGACUUUGAUGAGUCCAUCUCUGUUCCAAACACAGAAGAAGGAGGAAUUGAAGUCACUCAACAAGUACCAUCUGACACUCCUAUAGAAAAAGAUGAUCAAGAAACAAUCAUCUCUGAACUUCUAUCAAAUAGGAAUUUUAGAAACCCAUACUCUGUAGAACAAAUUAUUGGAGAUCAACACACUGGCGUACAGACAAGAUCAUCUACGUAACUAUGUCCUAGAUUGCUUUGUAUCUCAAAUAAAGCUUAAGUAGAUCUAUGUGCAUAUAUAUAUGAACUUAAUAUAAUCUAUCAAAUAUUUAUAUGCGUACUUUUACUAUGAUUAUUCAUAUACUAAGUUCUGUACACACAUAGCUAAAUGCAUGCCUAUCAUAUAUGACAAUCACGUUAAUGCAUUUCAUGCUACUAAAAGUUCCAUGAUCUAAAACAACUAUCUGAUAAAUGCAUGCUUUACAUGCUUGAUUCAUGCAUACAGUCGUCAACUUAUUUAUGAAACUAAUCCUAUACAUGCCUGUUUUACGUAUUACAAAACAUCUGCAUGCUUAAAAUCAUUUGAUAAAUACAUAUAGUAUGCAUGCAAAGUAAAAUGAGUCUACCUACAUAUGAGAUGUACAAUACAUGCAUGAAAACUUCAAAACAACUCAUUACAUGUCACGAUUAUGCAUGCAAGAUUAACACCUGAUUAUAAAAAUAUAAUACAAUCUAUGCAUGAAUAUUCAAAGGAUCGGUGACUCAUGCCAUGUUGCUUGUAUUAUAAAUCUUAUACAUAUACAAAGAUAAGAUUCUCCAACAAACUUUAUCCAAGAAAAACACUAUUCAAGAUAAGAUCAAAGACAAAGCUUGGAUUUAUGUGAGAAAUCAAGGAGCCAUCCAUUGAAGAUCCAAGGGUGGACAUUGAGUGGCCAAGGCUAUAAAUAGAAGGGUAAACCCCUCAUUUUCACUUACCACACUACAAGCAAACUCAAGAGCUUUCACUCCACAUUUGCCCACACGUUUUUGCCUCCAAACUUUCAAGUGCCCAAGUGUCCUAGCUUUCCAAAGCUUCAAAAGCUCUCCAACUUCUUCUUCUAAUCUUCUUGUUCAUCUUUACAAGUAAGAAGUGUUGUUUGUUUUAAUAUUCCACUCCUCUAAUCACCUCUUGUGUGUGUCCACUUUGGUUGAGAGGGUUGUCUCAAUAGUACCAAAGUGUGAAAGAAGGUUUUUGAGCUCAACCAUAAAGCUCUAGUUUGGUUUUAUAGAGUUUCCGGGAAAACUCUUAAGUCGAGUCUACCUUGAAAGAUUUCAGAGGUUUUUAAGAGUUCCUUGAUACUCUAAGGUACUAACUUACCCGCAAAAGUUAGAGGUUCUUAAGAGUGCCCUUGAUACUCUAAGGUGUGAGUCUACCCGUAAAAGACUGGUUCCUAAACAAAGUAGUCUUAAAGCUUAAAGAGGUUUUUAAGAGUUCCUUGAUACUCUAAGGUACUAACUUACCCGCAAAAGUUAGAGGUUCUUAAGAGUGCCCUUGAUACUCUAAGGUGUGAGAAUACCCGUAAAAGACUGGUUCCUAAGCGAAGUAGCCUUAAAGUUUAAAGAGGUUCUUAAGAGUUUCCUUGAUACUCUAAGGUUUUGUCAUAACCUUUAGGCGAGUGAAUUCCAGCAGUUGGUCGAGACUGGACUAGCCAUUGUUUGGGUGAACCAGUAUAAAUCUCUUGUGUUGUUCGUUGUUCUCUGUUAAUUAUAGUUUUAUCUCUUAUCUAAAAACAACACUUAAUUAAAAAGGAUCCCUCUUCCAGUUAUCUGCUCAAGUACAGAGGUUGACUACUUUACGCAGAUCCCUCAUCCAGUUAUCUGGUCAACCAUCUGAAGUUAUAUUCAUUGUUUUAAAUCCUUAUAUUUGUUCAAGUAUUACUUAUCAUAUAUAUCCAAUUAUCUGGUCAUUUAUUUGUUUAUCAAUAUAUCUAGUUAUCUGGUCAUUUACUCUAUAAUAUAAUUUGUGUUUACAAUAUAACUUAGUAUUCAUAUACUAUAGUUGUGUGUAAAAAACUAUCAAGCAAGUUGACUCAGUAUUCAUAUACUGUGGUAAGCUUCGAAGAGUAAUAAUUACAUUAUUAUAUCAAUCAAAGUUAUAAUAUCUUUAUAUCAUUAUUGUUCAACCAUUUGUUUAUUAAGCAUUUACAGGUAAUUCCGCAAUCAACCUGUAUAAAUCGAAAAGAGACUAUUAUCCCCC
rnacentral:lncRNA from 1 species